AACCUGCCCUCAGGUGGGGUAUAACCUUGGUAAACUGAGGACAAUCCCCCAUAGAUUGCGAGUACUGCAAUGUCCGUAAUCAAAAGGCCCGCCGCCUGAGGAUGGGUCUGCGGUGGAUUAGGUAGAUGGCGGGGUAACAGCCCACCAUGCCUACAAUCUGUACCGGCCUUGAAAGAGGGAGCCGGAAGAUGGGUACUGAGACAAGGACCCAGGUCCUACGGGAUGCAGCAGGCGCGAAACCUCCGCAAUGCACUAACGUGUGACGGGGGGAUCCCAAGUGCCAGUGUAUUGCACUGGUUUUUCUAAAGUGUAAAAAGCUUCAGGAAUAAGGGCUGGUCAAGGCUGGUGCCAGCCUCCGCGGUAAAACCAGCAGCCCUAGUGGUAGCCGCUCUUAUUGGGCUUAAAGCGUCCGUAGUCGGUUCGGUCUGUUCUUUGUGAAAUCCGGUGGCUCAAUCAUCGGGCUUGCAAAGAAUACUGCCGUGCUAGGAGACGGAAUAGGUCGGGGGUACUCCUGGGGUAGCGGUGAAAUGCUAUAAUCCUGGGAUGACCACCUGUGGCGAAAGCGCCCGACUGGAACGUGCUCGACGAUGAGGGACGAAAGCUAGGGAAGCGAACCGGAUUAGAUACCCGGGUAGUCCUAGCCGUAAACGAUGCAAACUGAGUGUUGCUGGAACUACGGGUUCCAGCAGUGCUGAAGGGAAACCGUUAAGUCUGCCGCCUGGGGAGUACGGCCGCAAGGCUGAAACUCAAAUGAAUUGACGG
rnacentral:rRNA from 1 species